CAGGUGAGGGCAGAGUCUUUACAGCCUGCGCUUCAGAUAGACUGUAAACCCCAAAACUGGAGAAUCUCACACAGCCAAAAGUGAUUUCUGUAGCUGAACAGAUGGAGGUUGGCUUGGCUGCAGCUGAUGCCAUGCGCGGAACGGAGUAUGAAGCAGGAGCUGAUCCAGAUAUUCUUUAUCAAUUGAACCAAAGAUCCAUUUGCACCUGGCUUUCUCAGCCCAAUGGACACGAGGGACCUUCAGGAGAAUAAUAGUGAUCAACACACAGACAGAUGGAUGGACAGAAGGAUGGAUGAAACCAUGGAUGAAUGGAUACACAGAAGGAUGAAGGGAUAGACUGAUUUUUGCAGAAUGCAGAACGUCACAAUUAAUAAAUUGUAUAAAUCUAUUUAAAAUACGCGAUCGCACUGGCCUGAUAUUUAUGCUAAACAGCUUGGUCUUGUCAUGAGAACACUUUGUUCAUAUAUAUUAACUUGUCUUAAUGUACUUUAUUACAGUGCUUUUUUCUCCUUUUGUUAUUUGUAACAUUUUAGUUUGGUGAAUUAUCUUUACGGAGCAAAAAUACUAAUAUCAGCUAGUUACCAUCAAAGACAACCAAAAGCGUUAUUGGCAACCUAACUGUAAUUAGUAGGCUAUGUGACCAACUGCCAGUAUGGUCACAAUGUUGGCAGGUUUUAAGAUAACCAAGCUUCAGUUGACUGUGUGCAUGUUUACAAGACAACUAUGUGCUUUAUGUGCUGUAUUAUGCAUGUCAGGCCAGUGAUAGUUGAAAACGUGUUGUGUAAUAUAUUUAGCUAUAAGUUAAUAGUUUUAUUACCAUAAAAAUUUAAAUUCACAACAUUCUUUUACAGUUUUUUUUUUCAUUUGCUAACAUCCCAAUGCUAACAACCCAGUCCAAUCAAUAGUCACAUUUUUAAAACUCUAAUUAGCACAACAUCCGUUUGUAGUGACCAUACCAUUAACACAAUUCAUGUUGUUUUCACACAAUAUUCUGUCAAUUAACAUGUUUCUAAAAUGCUUAAAUUUUCAUGCUACACGAGCUUAACCCAUACCAAAAUCAUUUUACAAAUGCUUAAACACAGCAUUACAGAAAUGAAGACCUAAUGUUCCAAACUUUAAAUAUAACAUAAAGCCUCUACUUCUGCAACAACAGCAGAUUAAAAGAGCCGAUAAGAAUUAUUUUAAUUACUAAUAAUUGAGAAAUAGCUGAUUCCAGUCUUAAUGAAUAGUUCCAAGUCUUGCCAUUACAUGGGCAUGCACAAUAUAAAAGGCAUCCUCUGGAUUGGUUUUGUUCAAAACAAUGCAGAACAGCAAAGAGAAGCAGAAAAAGAAAGAAAAUGUCUGGAGGAGGGAGAGUUGGACAAGAGAGAGGAGUAGUUGGAUGUGGGAGAGUGGUUGGACCAGGACUGUUUGGUUUGGUUCAGCUACCAAAGCAGACAUCAAGCGACUACAGUGGACAGUCAGGACUGCUGAGAGGAUUAUUGUCCCCCCUGCCCAACCUCCAAGAUCUUUACAUCUCAAGAGUGAGGAAAAGGGCUAGGAAAAUCACUCUGGACCCCCACACACCCAGCCCACUCGCUCUUCAAAAAGCCAGACAUAAGAACUUUAUUUCCCCUGCAGACUAUAUUUAGCACAAACAAUUAAAACAUUCAUACCGUCACAACUGAUGCAUUUAUACAAAUGAUAGAAUCUGGAAAUUGUACAUUUGUAUACUAGACAUCUGUAAAUAACAUAUCUGCACACUUGUAAAUAUCAGUACAUUGAUUUAAACAAUUGUUUUUU